rnacentral:rRNA from 11 species
AUUUUUGUGCAUGUCAUGAUGAAAGCAUCUGAUCCUGUCUGAUCUUGGAAGCUAAGCAGGAUAUGCCCUGGUUGGCACUUGGAUGGGAGUUGUAGUUUGGUGCGGGAGUACCACUCCUUGGCAGAGGAAGCUAAAACC